AGAGACUUUACCUUUUACCUUUAGCAUAACGUCUUUCUUUCUGAUCGGGAGUAUUUUAUUUCCUCGUCCUUCAGAUUUAUUAUGUUUAGUAUUGUUUAAUCCAUUAGUGCGCCUGGCAUAUUUGAAGUUGAACUGAUUUACCAAAAAUUACCGUCGUCGCCCUCCCUGCGAUUUCAUCACUGCUCUCCUUCUUCGGUUGCAGACUAGGCAGAAACCCUAAUCGCCAUGGGAGAUAAUCGUCAGUCUUUUGUACAUCAUGCUCUUGGUGGUGGCUCAGUGGCGGAUGUGCUGUUGUGGAGGAGAUGGUGUGCUAGUGUUACUCUGCUAGUCAGUUCCACUGCGCUUUGGAUUUUGUUUGAGCGAGCUGGAUAUAAUGUCCUUUCCUUUGUUGCCAAUGUUAUGUUGCUUCUAGUUGUGAUUCUCUUCUUCUGGGCUAAAUCUGCCUCACUUCUUAACAGGCCUUUACCUCCUAUCCCUGAUUUGGAGGUUCACGAGGAAUCUGUCGUAAAGGCUGCUGACAUGAUGCGUGUUUGGAUCAAUCAUGUCCUGAUGAUUGCCCAUGAUAUUGCUAUUGGUGGGAAUUUAAAACUUUUUGUUAAGGUUUCUCUUGUCUUGUGGCUGAUAUCUUAUGUUGGUAGUUUCUUCAACCUCCUCACUUUCAUCUACAUGGGAAUUCUUUUUAGUUUGUCUGCGCCUCUGCUGUACGACAAGUAUCAAAAUCAAAUUGAUGACAAGCUUAUUAUAGCACAAAAGGUCAUUCAGACACAGUACAAGAAAAUUGAUGAUAAUGUACUGAGAAAGAUUUCAAGGUCUUCAAAUAAGGAAAAGAAGACUCAGUAAACUGUCUAGACAAACUAAAAAGGUUCUUGGAAUGCAAAGUAAUUUUUUCUUAGAACAAAUGGAAAUAAAGGAGACUUGUUCAAGGUUGACCUGUAGGAUUGCAUCAUCCAACAUCGUUGGGAUGAGGUUUGAUUGCCUUGCAAAGCAGAGUUUUAAAGAAGGCUGAACUUACUAGUGUUUUUCUUAUUUUUGUGAAUGGUUGUCGAUGACCUUUGUUAGUGGAAGUGUCUGUGGCAGAUGAAGUAAUGGUUUAUAUGAUUGGCAUUGAAAUAGUGGCAUGGUCAUUUUGAUUGGUAAUCCACAAGCAUUUCAAUGGAGCCAGUGCAUAAUCUAGAAGUUCUCUUUUGCUAUUGAUUUAGAAUCUUUAUUAUGCUCGUCUCCUAGUAUUUGUACUCUAAUCUAGUUUGCUUUGAGCACCUAAGUAACUGCAGCUCGUUUUUUCCUUUUUUUUUUUUUUGGGUUGAUAUCUCACCUUUGUAGUUAGUUGAUGGUCAGCUCUUUCACACAAAUUUCUUUUAGGUAACUUUGAAAAAAAAGGUUUCCCUUUUGGCUGGCUGAGGUGAUGGUGGAGAAAUGCUAUAUUUGAUUGAUAUGAAUGUUGUGGGGUGUUGCAGUUUAA